GCUUCUCGGGGCCCGCGGAGGACCGGGGACCGGGAAGGUGAACUGAGGCGGUCGCCCGCUCGAGGCUGCACCUGCCCUGAUCGCCCCUAAACUGUCCGGCCUAGUGGGCUUGGGACUGGGACCAACCUUGAGAUACGGGGAUGAUUAUACCCAUUGUCGUAACGAAGACAUAGUCGCUGGAAGGAUUAACAAAUGACAAAGUCCGUAAGCCUGCCACAGUGCUCAUCUGGAAUUACAAGCUUAGUACGACAAUUCUGUGUUUCAGCACGCUUAAAAGGAAGUCAUUUAUCAAAUUUUGCUGCGGGAAAUGGAUAACGUGUUGGCUCUCUGUAUUAUUCUGGAAUUUCGGAUGGCUUCUCCAGUUUGCUGCUUCCCUGGACACCAAACAUAACAUUCCCUGUUCUAGGACCUGCUUCAAGUUGGUCAUAAGACUGGCAGAAAGUCAAACCAAACUAAAUGAAUAGUUGUUGAAGUUCAUCUCACGUCCUGGAGCUGUGUGUGCUAUGGAAUAGCCUGCUGUUAUUACCAGGCAUAAUGCUGAUCAGAAUCACUGCUCUGUGGUGUUGUUCAUCAGAAUUUCAUGUUUGGAAAUUAGAUUUGGGUCUGGUUACUGUAAAAAUAGAUAUUAUGAUAAUGGAAUAUAGCCGUUAAAAUUUCUAUUGCAGGAGAAAUUAGCCAUGUAUUUAAAUGUAGGAGUAUGUUACUAAACAAUAUGUUCAAGAUGAUUCCAGUAUUGUUUAAUGUUAUACAGACAUAGACAAAUACUGGGAAAAGGCACUCAAAGUUAACCUUAAGGAAUGGAGGUACCAGUGAUUUUAUUUGACUUGUUUACUGUUCAGAAUCUUCCUAGAUGAAAUGUAUUACAUCUAUACUCAGAUAAUUUUUAAAGGAAUCUAUUUUUCAUACCAAUACCCCAGAGUCAAAAUAUGCAAAAGAUACCACUAAAAAGUGGUAAAUUAAGUCUACCUAAAAAGGUCUUAUGAUUCUCGCCACUCAAAAACCAUUGUAGAUUUUGCUCUUGUCUUGCAUGCAUCGUUUGUUUUUUUUUUUCUUUCACUUUAAAAAUUCAUGUACUAGAUGCUAGGAGUAAAUGAACGAUACAGGUGCGGCUUCUGCCCUCUCAGAACUAACUAGUUGUCUGGGGAAGAUAGAACAAGCCGACAGAAACAAUCUAGCAUGUCGCAGUCAAAAACACAGUUUCAUGCCUACUCCAUUAAAACACCUAACCCUCCUUUUUACACGUCAAAUUCCGGCUUUGGCAAGUCAGCUCACAAACACAUUGAACUCGCACGCUGGCACUCACUGUCGGCCAUUGCUUCAGCUUGAGCCACGUCCCCAUUGUCCACAAACUCAUGUUCAAUUACUAGAGUACUAGUCAGUUAUUUGGGUAUUAAUUUGCUCUUAUUUUAGAAAAAUGUCAUUGCAAAUACUAGUCAUAGGACCUGUAGGUCUCAUAAAUGUAAUUUGAAUGAUACAAAGAUGGAAAUCAUUGUGUGCCCGGAACUGAAUCUAGCCUCAGUCAGAUACUCAGACAUUCAUGAAAUGAAGUCCAGUAAACUGAGUGAAACUAAAGAAGAAACUCAGAGAACAAGUAUAAGAUCCCGAAAUAAUCAUUGUUAAAUUUUGUGGCUAAAGUUUUGGUAUGUUCAGAGAUUUUGAUCUUAAUUUUUUAGUUCUGUUAAGAAAGGAUUCCCCCU